rnacentral:rRNA from 1 species
AGAGUUUGAUCAUGGCUCAGGAUGAACGCUAGCUACAGGCUUAACACAUGCAAGUCGAGGGGCAGCAUGUUGGUUGCUUGCAACCAACGGUGGCGACCGGCGCACGGGUGAGUAACGCGUAUCCAACCUACCCUUGUCCAUCGGAUAACCCGUCGAAAGGCGGCCUAACACGAUAUGCGGUUCACAGCAGGCAUCUAACGUGAACGAAAUGUGAAGGAGAAGGAUGGGGAUGCGUCUGAUUAGCUUGUUGGCGGGUAACGCCACAAGGCUACGAUCAGUAGGGGUUCUGAGAGGAAGGUCCCCCANAUUGGAACUGAGACACGGUCCAAACUCCGUACGGGAGGC